AGACACUGAGAUAGCGACUAUAACCGACCUGCAUGCUGCUGACACAGACAGAGGAGCGAGAGUCAGAAGGGAUUCCUGCCGUCUUCUCCUGCAGUUAAACACCAGGCGGCGACGUUUUCUCACGUUCAGCUGGUGCUGCUGCCCUGCCGAGAGGAAGCUGCAACACGACAGACAUCACGGUGAAAAUACAGAUAAAAACUAUCUCAGAUCAAUCAUGCACUAAUGCAAAUACUGUAUUAUAAUAAACACUAGAAAGUAAAAAUACUUUCAGUACAGUCACAGGAAUGUAGAAUAAUAUCAGUAUAAUUAGAAAAGAACAUUAAUAUAAAACAUUAACUCAUUUUACAUUUAUUCAGUUGUAUGUUAGUUUAUUUGAAUUUUACUGUGAUUACAUUUUUUGCUUCCUAAUGUAUUUACAUAAGCUAAUAUUAUUUUUUACAGUAUGAAAUUAAGUUUUAAUUUUUCAAUCUCAGUUUUUAAGCCAAUGUGCCAAUUUUAAAGCAGUUCUUUAUAUAUCUCUUGGGUUUCCCCCUCUGGGAUCAAUAAAGUUUUAUCUUAUUUAUUUUAGUUUUGCCUCAUUUAUCUUGUUACCUCCUUGUGUCAAAUUAUCAAGACUAGAGCUGCAACUAACAGUUAUUUUCAUUAUUGAUUAAACUGAUGAUAUUCAUCAUUUUCUCUAUUCAAGAUAACGUCCAAAACCUCAAGAUAUUCAGUUUAAUAUCAUGUAAGAAAAGCAUCAAAUCCUCAUAUUGAGAAACUAAUAUUUGGAUUUUUUUCUUAAAGUGACUAAGACGAUUAUUCGAUUAUCAGAAUAUCUGAUGAUUAAUUAAUUAAUUGACUUAUCUUUGCAGUUCCUCUCAACACUGUCUUAGUAUCGUAGGAGAAUCUAAAACUGUGUCCGUUACUUUCUGACAUCAAAUUAGUCUGAAGAACUGCUGCUGUCACAGUUUUAUAUCGGACUGUUUUGUUGUUUUUUGGCAGAUUGUAAUUACUUACAGGCUGAAAUAAAUUCCAAUACUGUUGAUUAAA